rnacentral:lncRNA from 1 species
GGAGAAAAAGAUGGGAAGGAAAGGUUUGCCUAAAACCAAGAAAGCCAAACAGCGCGCCAAGAAAUCAAAGAAAAAUAAGUCAAAAGGACGCCCGAAGUUUGCCUAUGCCAAAGAUGACAUGCUGAAAGCAGUUGAAGCUGUCAGAGAUGGCCGGAUGUCGUGUUCGGGAGCAGCAAGUGAGUUUAACGUUCCACGCUCAACGCUCCAAACCAAGGUUAAAGGAACCAGUCCGCUUGAUAUUAAGAUGGGUCCUAGCUCAAUUUUACAUGCAGAGGAAGAAAGAAAGAAGAAGGGAAUAAAAAGCAAGAAAAAAAUUACAGAAAAUAAAAGUCUUGACGAAGAAAUGGUCAGCGAUUCAUCUGAUGUUGUUGACACGCCAUCCUGUCCCAUUUCUAUUACAGCCGAUAUGAUAAACAUCAAUUCAUACGUUAUUGUUAGUUAUGAAGGCGAGCUGUUUCCUGGAAUGGUGAUUCAGAAAGAAAGCGAAGGUGCAACUGUAAAAGUAAUGGCAAUGGCUGGGGUAAACGCUUGGAAAUGGCCAGAGAAAGAAGAUGUUUUGUGUUACAGUUAUAGCGAUAUAAAAGAGAUAAUAGAGCCUCCUACUUUAAAAAACAGCCGAGGUGUCUGUUCAGUUCCAGAAUUGGUAAAAUGCAGAAAAAGACUAAACUUUUAACUUAGCAUUAUGCUGUUGUACGCCUUAUUUAAUUUAUUUUUACCAAAUACUUACUCAAGUGUUCUUAUUUUUCAAUGUUUAAGUACUAAAAGUACUGAUCUCUUCUUACUUGUGCCAGUAUUAUUUUCCUACAGUUUUAUGUGAAAAUUCUAUACUCAGUUUUAUAGUUAUGUAAGCAUCGUAUACUUAAGCAAGGUAACUGAAGUGCAAAAAUACCCCAGUAAGUAGUGAGAAUGACGUACAGUCAAUUUUGUUACCUAGAAUUUAAGAAUUUAAUUUUUAUUCUUCAAUAUUUCAAACUCCUCGUUACCGAAGUACAUUUUCUUUAGUUAAUUUUGUUUUCUAAUUCUUAAAGUGUUGACUCUACUUUACUUCCUAUUGAUUUAAGCAAAUAUUUUCCUUUGAUUGUAGUCAUUUUUUUUUUCUGUUAAUAUUCUUUAAUAAACAAGUAAAUAACAAUGAAACAUAAUUUUUAUCUUUUUUUACCAUUCUACUUAGCAUAAGUCAACAAUUUAAAAAUAAAAAAAAAAAAAAAAAACUAACAAAAGUUAAAUCAAUUGCUCUGCCAAUCACUGGUGCAUGAAUUGCCAAUUACUCGCACAUCCAAAACUUUGACUGCCAAUCACUGGUACAUUGCUCAUUUUUCAAAAAAUGUAAGUUUGAAUUCAGUAAUAGUUCAAAAAUGUUUGAAUUGAGGCAUUUUUAAACAGCAAAAUGUAUGCAUCUUCAAUAGAAACAAACAAAUCAACCAUAUUUAUUUAUAUUUUGGGAAAAAUUGAAGCUCUAAGUUGAAAAAAUCCUUAAGGUGCCAAUUACUGGUACACUUACCUUAAUGGCAUAGCAGCCAGUAGCAACAUCCUUAAGCCAAUCUUAAGUCUCAAAAGAAGGACGAUAAAGAUUAUAGGCCUACCCCAGACUUGUACGUCGGCUGAAUUAUGAGACUUUUUUAAUGUGAAAGGCUUCGACGAGCUAUAGAAAAGAGAACUGAAAAGACUGACACCACAGUUUCAAUCUGAGCCACUCACACAAAAAGAAAUAAAAUAUAAUUUUAGAACUAUUAACCAAGUAAGAGUUGAACAACCCAGAUUAGUAGUCUCAAAGCAAAAAGUAGGGUAUACAGUAAAACUGGAGUGCACUAGUUGACCAAAUCAAUCCUUUCGUAAACUCCCAAAUAGUAAAUUAUUCAUUGCAUUUUCCAAAGUAACUAUGAAAACCGCACAAGAGGCUAAUAGUUUUGUUGCUUAUUUCCAAGCUGAAGAUCCAAACUAUGAAUGCUAUAUUCCUAAAUAUGGUCUCCUAACUAAAGGAGUAAUGAAGGACAUCCCAGUUGAGUUCACAGAAACAGAACUAAGUAGUGAAAUGAUUAGCUUUUCUCACGAGAUAUAUUCUCUAACUGUAUUAAAUUAAGUGAAAUCUGAUUCAUCAAGCAAAGUUGGAAGCAUUCCAAACAACUGGCUUUUAGGUACCUUCUGAACUUUACAUCUUACUGAAACUUUUUCUAAAUGGAAGUUCACUUAGGUACCUAAGUAAGAAGGACUGAGCCUGUCAGGGAGUUGAGUUUAAGGUAUCUUAGACACGGAACAGUUCUGUACAAAGAAAGCAAAAGAAAUAUUUCAAUUAUGUUUACAAUGAAUUUCAAAUAGCACCAGAUUCCCCUAAAUGCUACCAUCAGCGGUAAUCCAGAAGUAAAAUAGAGUCAGGAUAAAUGAUUGCCUUGACUCAAAAUUGGUUGAGAAGGAAUGUAGGUACUAAGGUGCAACUAGUUGUCUUCAAACCUUCUUACUUACUCUUAAAUUAAAGUGCACUUGAAGGAUAAAGUAAAUGUCAUACGUAAAGAAUCUUUCGUAGCUAUCAAUAAUGUGCACAAAAUUCCAUAGGAAGGCUGAUAUAAGUGAAUGUGAGACAAGACACAGAACGAAAAGCAGCUAGAAAGUGAUGUAGAUUUAUAAAGACCUUAAGGACAAGAGAGACUACACUUAAUUGUUCUGAUUGUGAACUGCCAAAAUACAAUAUUCCGAUGUGCAGUAUUGCGAACUUCCUAUUAUUAUCUAUUUUCUACACAAAAAACUAAGUACUUGGCUUUAUCUCUUGAAAACUUGGUAAUUCUUCUUCCCCAUACAGAAAAUUUUUCUGUAACAAGGAGGAUGUUGAUCCGGUCUCCUUGCAAAAAUUAAAAAAGGACAAAGAAUUCCUUGCAACCACAACCAAGAGCAUUCCUGCAGUUUCUCGGUUCAUUUGAAACAUAUCAGCUAAUAAGAGUACAGUUCUACAUCUCUGGUCUGUACUCGAUCAUUGACCAAGGUUCAACCGGACUUAGGUAAAAGCACUAGGUUUUAGCUGUUCAAUAGUUUGUAUCUGCCCUCCAUAUUGAAAAACAUUAUACACACUUAAGCACACAGUUAGCAGGCCGAGAGGUAGCAGAGAGCUGACGGAAAGUUUGCAUGUUAGAUGUCAGCACGUCAACUGCUUUAAGCUUUCAAUAAUUAGCAGGGGACAAAUUUAAGCCACAGGAGGCAGAACUGAAAGCUUCAGAUACGUUUCCAAAGUGUUCCUAAAACAACAAAAAUGUGCAGAGUAAUAGAAAAAACAUGCAAAAUCUAACCUGUAAACAGCUGUCCUAGUAAGCAGAUGUCGAUAGAAUCAAUACCGAGAAACGAAAGGUGUCCUUGCUUCUAAAUGCACUAUGAUGACGAAAUCAUUGGUUCGUCCGGGGCGAUUAGUGAGCCACAAAGAAGAAAAAUUGUGGUGAGGAACUCGUCAACAUUAUGUCGAUUCAAAAGGACUUUAAAAUCACAAACCGAGCACACACAAAUGACCGGCGAAAUGGGAAAAAGUCGACUCGUGAGGAACUCACGUGGCGAGAUAGGCUCUGACGAUUUUCCACAUGGUUCACAAGUUUUAUAAUGCUUAGUGCUUAGUAACAACGCAAGGCAGAAGGCAGACCCGAACAAAUCGAAAAUCGGAAAUACCGCGAAACGAUAGGUUGAGAUCGUUGAAGAUAAAAGGUUUCACAGUUUCGAAGGAUAUAAUUUACCGAUUACCGGGCACGCCACUGGGUAGAAGAAACCGCGUGAGAUGUUUAAGUUGAAGAGGGAAAGCGGUGCGGCCCGGCCGAAAGUUCGAUACGUACGCACUGCAUAAAUGCGGAAUGCGGCGUACUCAUGAGACGAAGUGACGAAGAAACAAUAAAUGAACAUCUGAUGGCGCGAACUGAACAAAUUGGCGCGCGGACUGAACGAAAUGAAGACUCAGUUUAUCUCUCUCUCGCCCUCUAAACGCUGCGUCGCUGUGUCCUUGUCUGAGGGCUUCGAGGAGACUGCUCAGCCGCGCCGCGCACACGUGUGAGCGUGUGAGGGUGUUGGUAUGUGUGAAGUGGGAGAAAUCCAAAGAGAAAUGAGAUGCGUCUAGUUCCUUCCUACAGGGUGUCCCAACGAUUCGGUCAAC